AGUUUGCAGAGGAAUCAUCCAGGAGCCCUCACCGAACGAGAAUAUGCAGAAGUGGAUGUGAGCAGCCUGGACAUCCUUCUAAGGAGACCUCAACAGUCCUCAGGUUUCUGCCUUCUGCCUAACUGGCUUAGCAAGAGAAAAGAAGUCACAGGCCAGAGUCUACUGCCCUCGUGCAAUGGAAAGAGAGCAAGAGCGAUGAGUCUGCAAGCGUUGUUGAUGCGACGCAGAAGGCGUCCAUCUGGGAGCGGAACCACCACCACUCUCAAUGAGAUAAGUGUCUUCUUUGGUGAUCGCUCUGCUCAAGGCCCAUCUUGCUCCCGGUAGGGACGCCCCGUUAGCUGGGGCUGGGUUUGUAAGAAAAGGUUCCUGACUAGUUGUGGUUACAAGAGAGACGAUGUCCCCAUUUUCAGGGGCUGCUCAUGUCUCUGGCCAGGACCAGUGUGUCCUCCGCAGCAUAUUAGAUCCAGGGGGAUGACUCCAGCUGAGGAAUUGUCCAGGAGCAGCAGCCGGAGGAGAAAUUGGCAGACGUGGGCCUGAGGAGCCUGGACAUUCUUCUAAGGAGACAUGAACAGUCCUCAGCUUUCUGCCUCGUGCAUAACUGGCUGUGGUACCAAGGGAAAAGAAGUGACAAGUCAGAGUCUACUGCCCCCAUACGAUGGAAAGUGAGCGAGAGUGAUGGGACUGCGAGAAUUAUUGAUGCCUUGAAAAAGCCGUCCAAGUGGGAAUGGAAGAGUCAUCACUGUCAAUGAGAUAAGUGUCUGUUUUGGUGAUUGCUCUGCUCACGGCCCACCUUGCUCCUGAAAGGGAUGCCCCGUUUGCUGAGGCUGUGUUUGUAAGAAAAGGUUCCUGCCUAGCUGUGGUUUUGAGAGAGAGAGAAGAUCCCCAUUUUUAGGGGCUGCUCAGUUUUCUGGCCAGGAGCAGUGUGUCCUACGCAGCAGAAGGUUGCAUCUAGGAGAAUGAGUCCAAGUGGUGAAUUGCUUGCCUUUCCCUCGUGUUUCUCUCUCUCUCUCUCCUCUAGUGUGUUGGCCAACACUCUUUCUCAAUCUGUCCUUGCUUUUCCUUGUGCUGUCUCCCUUCUUAGGAUAUCGGCAGGCGAGCUAGGUGUGCACCCCCACAGGUUGUGUCUUGGGAGCCAUAAAGAAGUAGGAGGGGACGAAAAUCAUGCGGGGCAGUCGGUGCGAGACUGGAGCGAUGACUGUUGGUGUUGUGGGGCUAAGACAGAUCGAAAGCGACGCAGGGAAGAGGGGCUUAAUUGGGCUCUAUGUAGUGCAGAAGUUCUCAAACUGGGGUUUAGGUCCCGUCAGGGGGCCGUAAUGUUGUUAUUUGGGGGGUUGUGAAAUGUCAUCCUCCAUACUAAACAUCACUUUGCUUCCAGCAUUUAUAAUGGUGUUGAAUAUACAAAAAGUGUUUUUAAUUUAUAAGGGGAGGGUCACACUCAGAAGCUUUCUAUGUAAAAGGGAUCAUCAGUACAAAAGGUUGAGAACCACUGGUGUAGUGAUAGUUCUUGCUUGCCUUUAUUAGUUUGCAGCGGAAUUGUGCAGGAGUCUCAGCUGGAGAAGAAGUUGUCAGAAGUGGACCUGAACUGCCUGGACAUCCUUCUAAGGAGACAUGAACAGUCCUCAGCUUUCUGCAUUCUGGAUAACUGGCUAUGAGUAAGAACAGUCACACAUCAGAGUCUACUGUCCUCAUGCGAUGGAAAUUUGCAGAGGAAUCGUCCAGGAGCCCCAGCCGGAUGAGAAUGUGAGAAGUGGACCUCAGCAGCCUGGACAUCCUUCUAAGGAAAUAAGAAUAGUCCUCAGGUUUCUGCCUUCUGCAUAACUGGCUUACCAAGCAAAAAGACGUCACAUGUCAGUCUACUGCCCUUAUGAGUGAGAGUGACGAGACUGCGAGCGUUGUUGGUGCCAGGCAGGAGCCGUCCAUCUGGGAGCAGAACAGCUGCUACUAUCACUGAGAUAAGUAUCUGUUUUGCUGAGGGUUCUGCUCACGGCCCACCUGGCUACAGGUAGAGACACCCCGUUAGGUGGAGUGGGUUUGUAAGAAAAGGUUCCUGACUAACUGUGGUUUUGAGGGAGACACGGUCCCCAUUUUCAGGGACUGAUUUCUCUGGCCAGGAUCGGUGUGUCCUCGGCAGGAGAAGGUUAGAUCCAUGAGGGAUGACUCCAGGUGGUGAGUUGCUUGCCUUCCUCCUCUGUUUCUCUCUCUGUCUUCUCUACUCUACUCUACUGUGUUGGCCAACACACACACUCUCUCUCGGCUGUCUCCCUUCAUAGGGCACGGGCAGGAGUGCUAUGUGUGCAUCCCCUCAGGCUAGGUCUCGGGAGCUAUGAACAAGUAGGAGGGGACGAAAAUCAUGCAUCGUAGUGGGCGCUAGAGUGGAGGGGUGACUGUGGAUGUUGACUGUCUCUCUUCAAGUGGGUCUGAUGUAGAUAGGCAGGGAUGAGGGCAAGAUUACCUGCACCAAUUGAAUUUUGUGUAGUGAUGGCUCUUGCUUCGCUCAUUUCCUGCGCUUGCAGAGGAAUUGUCCAGGAGCAGCAGCUGAAGGAGAAAGUGGCAGACGCGGACCUGAGGAGCCUGGACAUCCUUCUAAGCAGACAUGAAUGGUCCUCAGAUUUCUGCCUCCCGCACAACUGGCUGUGAGUAAGCGGUCAGUGCUUGGAAUCCCUCAUCUGUACUGGCUCCGGUUUUGUUCAGAGGCUCUGAAUUUCUUCAUUGGACACGGUGCUCUGUGGGAUUCAGAUGAGGCAAAGGCACAAGUCUCCUGUGCAGAUGCUGGGUUUAGUACCAAGUGGAGAGUCAGAGUCCACUCCGCACAUGCCAUGGAAAGGGAGCGAGAGCUGGGAGAUUCUAAGCAUUGUUGAUGCCAGGGAAGAGCCAUCCAGCUGGGAGUGGAGCAAGGACCACUGUCAGUGAGAUAAGUGUCUUGUUAGGUGAAGGCUCUGCUGUGGUUACGAGGUUGACAAGGUCCCUAUUUUUAGGGGCUGCUCAGUCCUCUGGCCAGUACCAGUGUGUCCUCUGCAGCAGAAGGUUGGAUCCAGGAGGAUGACUCCAGCUGCACUUCCAGAGGAAUUGUCCAGGAGCUCGAGCCGGAGGAGAAACUGGCAGAGGUGGAUCUGAGCAGCUUGGACAUGGUUCUAACCAGACAGGAACAAUCCUCAGCUUUCUGCCUUCUGAACAACUGGCUGUGAGUAAGAGUACCAAGGAAAAAUAAGUCACAUGUCAGAGUCUACUGCCCUCAUGCAAUGGAAAGUGAGUGAGAGCAGCGAGCCUGUGAGCAUUGUUCAUGCCAGGCAAGAGCUGUUCAUUUGGGAGCCAAGCAGAUGCCACUGUCAGUGAGAUAAGUGUCUGUUUUGCUGAGGGUUCUGUUAACAGCCCAUCUGACUCCAGCAGUGUGUCCUCCGCAGGAGAAGGUUGGAUCCAGGAGGAUGACUCCAGAUGGUGAGUUACUUGCCUUUCUCCUGUGUUUCUCUCUCUCUCUCUCUCUUCUCUAGUGUGUUGGCCAACACUCUCAUUCUCUCUCUCUCUCUCUCUGUCUCUGUCUCUGUCCUUGCCUCUCCUUGUGCCGUCUCCCUUCAUAGAACAGGGGCAGGAGUGCUAGGUGUGCAUCCCCACAGGCUUGGUCUCGGGAGCUAUGAACAAGUAGGAGGGGAUGAAAAUCAUGCAGGAUAGUGGGCGCCAGAGUGAGGCAGUGUCUGUGGAUGUUGACUCAGUCUCUGUUUAUUGAGUCUGGCGGAUAUAGAUGGAAUGGGAGAGGGAGGCAGGGAUGAGGACAUUCAUAGAGCUCUGUGUAAUGAUGG